rnacentral:sRNA from 2 species
CAAUGUUGCAGGAUUCCCGAUAGGAUUUACGUGUGAUAUGUAAAUAUUCCUUGUAACCGACAAAACAAAGGGGGAAUAAAAAUG